UGACUAGAAUAUACAAAUACCAGUUUCGGCUGACAAUCAGUACUUCGAAGAAAUCAUGGACACACGAUUGGUUCUGCUGGCCCUGGCCAUCUGUGGGCUCGCUGUGGGAGCCAAGCUACCUGAUAAGAUAUACCACAUAUUUCAGAGUGGACAGCGAGGAAAAUGGUCUUGGCUUGCCGUCUGCCAUUGUUGGAGGAACAGAUGCCGCAAAGGAUGCGUGGCCAUGGCAGGUGAAUCUGCGGUACAGGGGAAACUUUACGUGUGGCGGUUCACUUCUUAAUGGCGAUACCGUACUGACAGCGGCUCACUGUGUCCACAAAAGAAAGAAAAAGCAGUUCUGAGUAAUAGUAGGGGAUUACAACCGAAAAAGGAACGAAAAGAAGAAUAGAGGUGAAAAAAAGAUGAAGAAAGAUAGUCUUUUCAAAAUG